rnacentral:misc_RNA from 1 species
UAUAGAAUGAAGAUAUUUCAGUAUUAUCAAUUUAUAUAAAUUAAAGCAUAAUUAUAUUUAAUGCUAUUAAGACGCUCUUCUAAUGCUAUCGCCUCCGUCUUACUCGACAUAAUAUGACAAGUAAUAUGACACAUAAUAAUAAUAAAUCACACAUAUAAAUAUCAAACAUGAUUCUAAAAAAUAGUCAUAAAUAGCGAAAAAACAGUGAUAAAACCGAUUGAAAAAUAAAAACAACACAGAAUGUAAAUAAAAGCCUUUCCACAAGCCACUUAUUAAGCUCUAUAAGAAACGAUCUAAGUACAACUAAAACUAAUAUCAGCUGAUUUUUUAAUGACGCUUUAAUGGCCUUUUAGGAUAAUUUAAUGAAGAAUUAAAUAUUUAAGCUAAGUAUGAAAAACAAACAAAUGAACAAAAAAAGACCUGUUAGUAUAAACUAACAGGUCUUUUACUCUAAGC